AUUGAACGCUGGCGGCAGGCCUAACACAUGCAAGUCGAGCGAGCGGCGGACGGGUGAGUAAUGUAUGGGAAUCUGCCCGAUGGAGGGGGAUAACUACUGGAAACGGUGGCUAAUACCGCAUACUAUCGGAUGUACCCAUAUGGGAUUAGCUAGUUGGUGGGGUAAAGGCUCACCAAGGCGACGAUCUCUAGCUGGUCUGAGAGGAUGAUCAGCCACAAUGGGACUGAGACACGGCCCAGAAUCCUACGGGAGGCAGCAGUGGGGAAUAAUGCACAAUGGGCGCAAGCCUGAUGCAGCCAUGCCGCGGGUAUGAAGAAGGCCUUAGGGUUGGAAAGUACUUUCAGCGGGGAGGAGUUACCCGCAGAAGAAGCACCGGCUAACUCCGUGCCAGCAGCCGCGGGAAUUC
rnacentral:rRNA from 1 species